rnacentral:rRNA from 4 species
UACGUAUGGGGCAAGCGUUAUCCGGAUUUACUGGGUGUAAAGGGAGCGUAGGCGGCAUGGCAAGUCAGAAGUGAAAGCCUGGGGCUCAACCCCGGAAUUGCUUUUGAAACUGUCAGGCUAGAGUGUCGGAGGGGUAAGCGGAAUUCCUAGUGUAGCGGUGAAAUGCGUAGAUAUUAGGAGGAACACCGGUGGCGAAGGCGGCUUACUGGACGAUUACUGACGCUGAGGCUCGAAAGCGUGGGGAGCAAACAGG